AAAGGUGGGGUUACCAUCCGGAAGUCAAGUAUUCAGUUGGCGUACGUAAAUAGAAGAAAGAAAAGUAUUUUCAGAAAAUCAUAUUGGUGAUUUUUUUUUCUUUACUUUCUUGUGGCUUAUAUAUAAAAUAGAUAAAGAACGAACGAUCGAACUUUGAUAUAUUUUAUUCUUCUACAGAUUGAAAAAAUGAUAUGGAAACUCAGAGACACAGGUGUUACUUGUCCCUGAUAACGAAUUCUACGUGAGAAAAUGUAGAAUACAAUAUUUUUUUGUCCAAGACUUUUAUUCAAACGUUGUAAUACGAUGACUAACAAGACCUUAUUAGCUUUGGGAAAUUAGCACUACUAUCUGACGAUGACUUCAACGGCCAUGGUUUCGCGUUUGCCGACUCCUUCCUUCGCUGAAUCAUCGUGUCUCAAUAGAGACGUAAAGGAGCUUAGAGAAUGAGAUUUUUCUUGAAAAAAGAAGUAAAAAAUGUAGAACAAAGUUUUUUCGUAGCAACUCCCGUUUUUGAGAUAAUGGAGUUUGAAAAGCAAAAAUAUAUAGUUAGGAUAACUAGUAUUCCGGAGUUCGAAAUCCCUCAAGACCUAGUCUGAAACAUCCACAAAUAUCUAAUUCUACAAAUGAACAACUGCGAAACAUGAAUCUCUAUCCGAUUUUCCGUUUUCAUUCCUGAAAAGAUGAGACGUCUUUUGCAGCCUUUGUUUCUAUGAAAAAAUGACGCAUAUAAAGGAUUUAAUUUUUUUUACAAUAGAAAAAGUAUAAUGUCAAAAAAAAAAAAAUACUUCAUCUC